rnacentral:lncRNA from 1 species
AUGCAGUGCCCCCGUGUUCUUGUCUGUGUGGGCCGUGAGCCUUCACACCCUUCCAUCGUGGAGAGUUUUCGGAAAACGUCCGAGGACAAACUUCCGAAGUUAACUUCGAAGUCUCACUCCAACGGAUGCCACGAAGACCGUGAGGCAUUGAUGGGAAACCAACGACUUCCAGCAAAGCAAAGCGUCCAAAACCCCAAAGUGGAACCUGACAGGAGGUCGAACAGACCGUCUGUGUCAUCUGACAAGUCCUUACCAGAUGGGACUGAUUCUCCAGACAAUGUGGAUUCACGUCAACCCACUGGCGAAGCAGUGCGAGAUGAGGACAUAGAGAAAAGGGUUCGCAUCAAUAAAGAUGGCAGCUUGUCUAUGGAAAUGAAAGUGCGAUUUCGGCUACAUAAUGAUGAAACGAUACACUGGUCGACAGAAGUAAGAAAGGCAACAGGCAAGACCUGUGAGUACGUCCAAGAACACACAAAGCCCUGUUUUGCACCUGUUAGCGAUCAAAGUUAUUCAGAGUCAGAAAACAUUUCACUCGGUGAACAAGAGGCAGCCUUCGCCAAGCACCUUCAAACAUCAGAGCAGCCUCACUGUCCUCACUGCUGCAGUCACUGCCAGAAGUAUGACAUUUGGAAAAAAGGGAAACGCAGAGCAAGUUGCGGCAUUCAAACCUCCAGCUCAAGUGCAUCCUCACAUACGAAGGUCUCUAGAAAAGUGGUGGUUGAAAGGAAAAGGGUGUCUCGAUCGAGCGAUGAACACACAGAGCAGGUGGUGGAGGCAGAAACCUGCGUGUCGGCUGAAACUGUGGAGUACUGCACCAUCAGGAGUGAGACCUGUUCGCCAAAGGACAACGCACAGGUCACCACCGAGGACGACUGCGGCACAAAGGAUCGGGCCGAUGUCCAAAGCGCUCAAACGUCGGACCGAGAAGAACGGGCAGGAUCUGGUGACCGCGAUGAGGAUGACGACGUCCCGACCAGUGUAUCGAGAACAUCUGAGAGAGAAGACGCGGCGAUGACGGAGGCACCACCCACGCGGUCGUCCUCAGGCCCCAAAGCUUCAGAGCAACCUAGCAAGUCAAUCAAAACAAAAGCUUCACAUAAGUGUCAAUGCGGAGUUUCUGACAAGGGCCAAGAGGAAGUAGAAGGUGAGGUACGAGACCGAUCAAGUGCCAUGUCCGUCAAAUCCAAUGCCUCUGGCAGAUCAAACAAGUCUGAAGAUGUACAGAACACACAGCGUGAGGAUGGAGAAGUGAACCGAUCAAAAAGUGCCAUGUCAGCUCAUUCAAAUGCCUCGAAUGAAUCCAAACAGGCUGAAGAAAUAAUCCAGGAUGAAGAGGAAACACAAGAAAGACCAGUAAGCAGCACAUCCGCUAGAUCUGAAAACUCCGAAGUGAUGUGUGAGCAAAACAAAUCAGGGGAUGAGGCGCACGAAGAAAGAGCUUUAAGUUCAAUGUCAUCAAAAUCCAAAGCAUCUGUUAAAUCAAAGGUCUCGUUUCUCCUAAACGAGGAACAAACUGAGGAGGAAUCGGCGCAAAGGACUUCCAGUGCCAUGUCAGCCAGGUCAUGCGCAUCUGCAGAGGAAAACAGCCAUGAAGCAGCUCAAGAAAAUGAGGAUGAACCUGGGGAGAGAGCACAAAGUGCACUGUCAGAGAAGUCGAAUGAGUCACAUAAGUCUAAAGCAUCUGAAGCUCCACCUGAAGAAGAUGAGUGUAGAUCUGUGCAUUCGCCCGCGUCAUCAGAGGCAGAAGAUGCAGAUGUAAAUUUGGGGGAAGAAGACGAAGACAAAGAAACUCAAGAAGAUCAAGACAGAGUGCCAAGUUCCAUGUCAAUCCAAACCAACACCUCUGCAAGAUCAACACAAUCAAAAACAUCUAGACCUCAGAAUGAGGAAAAUGCUGAAGUAGAAACUGACGACAGACCGACCAGCGUCCUGUCUGCAAAAUCUACCAUGUCAAAAGCCUCUGAAGCGGAUGUUGACCAGCAGUCAAUCGUUUCUGAUCAUACAACAGAGGACAAACAGGCUGAAAAUGAAGAGGGUGAAAGGGCAUCAAGUGCAACGUCAGCUACGUCUAUCAAGUCAAAUGUAUCUGUAACAUCCAAGAGGUCUGAAAGUGCAGAUGAUGAAAAUGCUGAAGAGAAAAGGGAAGAAAGACCAAACAGCAGAAUGUCAGUGAAAUCAACGCAGUCAGCCAAGUCCAAUAUUUCUGCAAAAUCAAGCAAAUCCAAAUCAUCUAACAAGGACAAUGACGAAGAUCAUGAAGAAGAAAAUGCAACGCAACAAAAUGAAGAGAGUGCAUCAAGCUGUAAGGAUGAGGCUGAAGAAAAUCCAAGCUGCAUCCAGAAUGAUGAAACCGAAGGAAGAACAUCCAGCGCCAUGUCUGACAAAUCGUCUAAAAUGUCCAAAGUCUCUCACGACGGGUCUCAGGAAAAAAACAACGAUGAAGAAGUUGCAGAAAGAGCUCAGAGUGCAAUGUCGGCAAAAUCUGCCAAGUCAAACGUCUCUGUUAUCUCCAUUAAAUCCAAAUCUUCUCAAGUUCUCUCCAAAGCUAAUGAAGCAUCAGAUGAAGCAGAACAGGAACCUGACGAGAGACCACAGAGCUGCGCGUCACAUAAAUCAGCCAAGUCAAACAUCUCAGAAGCAUCAAGUGAAUCAAAGCACAGUGAAAAUGUCACUGAAGACAAUGAAGGCAGGGUUUCUAGCGUGCUGUCGCUUAAAUCUGCACGUUCGAAUACGUCAAUCAAAUCUGCCAAAUCAGCACAAUCCAAUAUUUCUGCCAAAUCUAAAAUGUCAAAGCCCAGUGAGUGUGAAGAAUGUGCUACAGAACAGCUGGAGUACAUGUCAUCCAAAUCUGUUAAGUCUGUAAAGUCCAACGCUUCCGCCAUAUCUGUGAAAUCAAAAGGUUCUGAAAUGCUUUCGAAAAACUGUGAUGAAGAUGAGGAGGCUGACAAAAGGUCAGUCCAGUCCGUUGAGUCAAGUGUUUCUGUCAGGUCCAAUAGGUCUAAAUGUUCUGCUCGUGUAGCAGCCGAUAAAGAAGAGGAGCAGAGCGAGAUACGUGCAUCGAGCAGCAUGUCAGUAGCGUCACAUGUUUCUGAGAUAUCCAUAAAAUCUGCCGGCAAGACACCAAGUGUCCUGUCAGCUAAAUCUGCAAAGUCACUGGCCUCCGCAAAAUCCAUCAAAUCCACUGCCUCUCAUGGUCAAACUACUAGGAUUCCUGAUGACGGUGAUGGUGGAGAGGAAACUCCAGGAAGAGUGGAAAGUGCAUUGUCAGCAAAAACUGCAAAGUCCAACGUCUCUGUAAGAUCCAAAAUGUCAGAAUGUUCAGAUGAAAAUGAUAGGAAGCAAACUGUAGAAAGAGUUGCAAGCAGCUUGUCCGCUAAGUCUGUCCAGUCCAGUGUUUCAGAAAUAUCCAUUAAGUCUGCAGAAAGAGCACCUAGUGCUAAAUCGGCUAAGUCAGCAAAAUCUCGUGCUUCUGAAAAAUCUAAAAAAUCAAACGCCUCUGAAGCUUCUUCUAGCAAAACUGCUGGAGUUGAUGAUGAGGAAACUCAGGACAGAGCGCAAAGUGUAAGAUCAGUGGUUUCUGCAUCAUCUGGUAAGUUACAGGGGCCGGGUGGCCCAGCUGAAGGAAACAGAUGCGAUCAUGAGGAAAACGAGGAGCGAGCUCCAAGUAACACGUCUGUCAGAUCAGCGAAAUCCGUCAAGUCAAAUGUUUCAGCGGCAUCUAAGAAAUCCAAAACUUCACACGUUCCCUCAGAGCACGAUACGUUGGAAAAUGAAGUGGAACAAAGUGAAAACAGAUCUGCAACUUCAGCGUCAGUCCAUUCAGUCAAAUCAGGUGUUUCUGUGAGCUCAGCAAAUGCCAAAUGUUCUGCUGACAGACCUAAGUCGACUGCAUCCGAUGCUCCCACUGACACCAGUGCUGCUCCUGAUGGAAAUUAUGACGACGAAACUCAAGACAGAGCAGAAAGCGUAACGUCUGCAAAGUCAGCCACCUAUGCAGAAUCAAAUAAGUCACAUGUUUCGGCUGAGGAGAACGAGGAAAGACCUUCAAGCGUCAAGUCAGUGAAAUCAGUGAAGUCAAAAGCCUCAUGUGUCGUGUCUGAACACAGCGUGGAAGCUGCUGAUCCCGAGAACAAAGGCAGAAUGAGCCCAAUGUCAGCUCAGUCUGUUACAUCCAAUGCUUCUUCCGUAUCGAACAAAUCACAAUGUUGUGACGUCCAAAAUGAACCCAGCUCUGACACCAACGAAGAAGAAAGAGCAGCAAGCAGUACGUCAUCCAGAUCAGUCCGCUCACAUGUUUCUGAAAGAUCUGCUGAGUCUCAUGCCUCUCAGCUCAUCGCUGAAGAUGCGAUUGAACAUGUGAAAACCCCAGAGAGAGCAUCUAGUGCCUUGUCAGUUAAGUCUGUGAAGUCACAUGUUUCUGCAAAAUCUACUAAAUCAGACAUGUCUGAAAUUUGUUCCGGACUGGAAGAAAGCGCAGAGGAAAGAAACGGUGAAGAGGAAAGUCAGAAGAGAGCUCAGAGUGGACAGUCAGUCAUGUCUGUCAGAUCCAGCAAAUCUAAAGUCUCAGACUCAAGAAACACACAGUCCCAAAGGUCAAAAGGUGCUGAAGAGGAAAAUUCAGAGAGAGCACCAAGUUGCACCUCAAAUGUCACUGAAGCAUCUGUCACUCUCAAAGAAAAUACUACAAAGGAGGAGAACGAGGACCGUGCCCCGAGCUGUGCUUCCAUCAAGUCAAAUGCCACAGCUGUAUCAAAGAAAUCAAAAGCUUCUGAGACUCCUGCUGGAAACAGCACAAACAUGGCUGACACUAAAGAAGAAGAAGCAGCUGUCGAGUCAGUUAAGUCGGUGACGUCAUCAUCCACAAAAUCAAAAGCAUCAAAAGCAAGAAUUAAUAAAGACGAUGCUGAAGACCCAGCAGAUGGGUCAAUCAGCGAGUUGUCUGUGACGUCCAGUCUUUCUAGAAUCACCACCAGUGAAAAGAAAUCUGACCACAGGACACAUAGUGCCAAGUCAGCAAAAUCAGACAAAUCUAUUAAAUCAUCAAAAUCAAACAAAUUACUAACACCUGACUUCUCAGCUAAAGAAAGUUUAGAUUCUAUAUCAGUGAGAUCGGAGACUGCAUCUGAAAUGUUAGGAAGGUCUGAAGUUCCUGCUGUGACUGUUGAGAAAACAGAAGAAGGGGCAUCGACAGUCACGUCAUUGAAGUCCAAGUCUUCAUCACGUUCAAAAAAGUCAACAUCCAUGGUGAAAGGAGAAAAAAGUGAUCGGACCAAGAGUUCUUCAUCAAUGAAGUCAGAUCUCACUACAAAAUCUCAAAACUCCAACCGAACUGAUGCUUCCACUGAAGAAGGUGUGAGAAGCAAAGAGUUUGAAAUGCUGAUGUCCUUCGUUUCUGCACACAACGCAGAGGAGACUCAGGACGCCAACAUGCUAACAUCUCAUUUAGAGGAGGAAGAGAAAGAAGAAGAGGCAGCAGCGGAGGAGGGACAGGGAAAUAAAUUAAGGGUGAUUCCCCGUGAAAUGUCGGACGAAAGCGAUUUGUCACAGAGCCUGUCCAGCUCUGACGUCGUCAAAGAGCCGUGUGAGAUUCCAGCGCCUAGUGGGUCAAAACCUACUAAGGCUAAAGGAACGAGGAACGGUCCAGUGACACCUACGGACAUCCCCGAUAACAAAAGUGGCAAAAGCAACGCGUGCAAACACAAUGACUCCGAUUCGAAUGACUUUGAGCUGGUGUCGUCCAGUCUCCCCAACACAUCCCCUACCGAGGUUGUGAAUGAGUGGCUCAGGGCCAUACCGGGGGACGGAGACAUGUACGAGGUGGAGGAAUCCAGCGAGGCAGAAAAAAACGGAGGCACAGCCGAGGAAACGAACGAGAAGGAAAAGAACGACGACUCUGGGGCCGAGAACCCAACAGACGCCAAUGGGGGGGUUUCUGAAACCAGUGCCCCCAACGAGGACAGUCAAGCAAACGCAGAGGCACCGAAUGAAGACAGCGACCAAGACACCACAAAAACUUUCCACUCCUCUGUGCAGGUGAUGAGAGUACUUUUAAGUCCAAAGCUUGACAGAUGUAACAGUUUGCCAGAGGUUUCUCCAGUUUACGGGCGUAAACUAAGCACAUCAGCUAAAGGCCUCCUAGACUGUCUUGUGAAGUUGCAGCUGAUAGACAAUGAUCCUAAAAAUGCAAAUGAAAAGGGUGAAAAGUACCAAGAACUAAUGAACAUUCUUCAAUCUCUUUGGCUUUGUGAUCCUCCAGAAAACGAGCUGGUCCUAAAGGACAAUCAGCAGCACUCUGUGGACGAUGAGUUCAUUCAUACGUCAUCCUCUGGCGUGGACGUCAAUAGUGGCUCCACUGGCUCUGGCAAUAGUAGCGACGGAGUGAAAACUAGUGAUGGUGACACACUGCAACCACACACCAGCGCAAAUGUUUUAAGGAAAAUUCAAGAAGACUGUGAAGAAGAAGAAGAAGAAGAAGAAGAAGAAGAAGAAGAAGAAGAAGAAGAAAGAAGAAGAAGAAGAAGAAGAAGAGAAGAAAGAAGAAGAAGAAGAAGAAGAAGAAGAAGAAGAAGAAGAAGAAGAAGAAGAAGAAGAAGAAGAAGAAGAAGAAGAAGAAGAAGAAGAAGAAGAAGAAGAAGAAGAAGAAGGAGGAGGAGGAGGAGAACACGAAGAAGAAGGAGAAAAAGAUCAAUGGAUACCUGAAAAAGAAGUAGAAGAAACGCAGGAAGACAAGCUAAAGGACGAUGACCCAGCAACAGAUGAAACAAUCCAAAGCAGUGACAGUCCCAGAGGCCUGUCUGAAACACCCCCGUCAUCAAACAAAAGCUUAGAGAACGACGGCAGCAGCCAAAAGGUUCCAGGAGAAGAUGAAACAGAGGGUCAGGAGAGUCCUUCCCUUGGUGAACGAGCAGAAUUGGUCAAAAUGCUUUCUCAAGAUCCGGAUCCUGUUUGGGUGUUAACCUUAUUAGCCAAACUAGAAAAGCAGUUCAUGACACAUUACAUCAACGCAAUGAGGGAGUUCAAAGCCCGGUGGAACCUGAUUGACGGUGCACAGCUGGACGUGAUGAUAAGUGAACUUGAAACCCAGGUCCGCAAGAGGAUCCAGAUAAGCAUAAACAGGGAGCUGAAGAGGAUCCAAGGGGGAACUAGCCUCCCGAGGCCCCCCAAGGAAGCCAUGUCCCGAGCAUCAACGACCCAAACAGAGGAGAGGAGACGGAGACUGAAGGCUAUGCUCAAACAAUCAGCUGAUCCACCACCAGACAACAGUGAGGACUCUGCAACAGGGACAUCGUACAGUGACCAACGCAGCGAGAACGACGACUGUCCAUGUGACUCCUGCGUUAGGAAACCAAAGCCCCCACCUUCUGCAGAAGUUAUGAAUAUUGCACCUAGUAUAGUGGACUUUGACCUAAAAAGUAUUCUAACAAUGACGUACAACGAUGUGGAGCAUGCACAAGCAGCUGACACCGAACGCAACACUGAAACCACAGCGGCAUCAGCGGUUGUAGGAACAGCCGUGACAGAUCUGGAGGAGGAUCAGAUCCAGCAAGCCUUUGAAGAUGUAGAUGAAAAGGAAGCAGAGUAUGUGGGUACAGAAGAAGGGUCAGAAAACAAUGAAGAAGAAUUAAGUGCACAGAUUGUUUCUGAAGAUACAAAUGUAGAUAUAUGUCAUGUGGAAGAUGAAGUGGUUUCUGCUGAAAAUGAAGAGAUAGUGGAGAAUAUGGAGGCACGAGAGGACGAGGAAGUGGAACAGGAUCAGUCAGAAGGAAACUGUCUGGAAGCAUCUGCAGACACAUCUGGAGCCGUGUUAGAGUCUGCAGGCGCAGAAACCGCAACAGAACUCACCUCUGACACAGAGAAAGACGUCAUGGAAGUGGAGGAUGAGAGAAAUGAGGAAGAGGCAGAGGUUGGCGUGGAAGUCGGUGCAAGUGAGAACGAACCUGAGGAAGCAGAGGAGAAAUCUGAGGCAACACCAGCUGAAAACCAAUCUGACGAAGAAGAGGCAGAGGGAGCAGGAACAGUUGAAAAUGAGGAAGAGGUUCCUGUCACAGAAGCUGAAGAAGAAACAACUGAACACGAGGUUGCUGAUGAUAAGGUGGAUGUUAUCACAGGUGGCAAAGAUGAGGACGAUACCCCUGCAGACGCAAGUGAGGAGGAAGAGAUGGUUGUCACCAGUGGAGAUGAAGUGAAGGAAGAAUUUCUGGACGCAGCUGAUGACGGAGCAUCCACUAGUAACCACAAGUCUGACGAAGAGGAAGAUGAGGAAGCAGCGAUUGAGGGUGAAGCGCUCGCUUCCGCGUGCACCAAUGGUUCUGCAGAAGAGAAGGAUGAUCCGACCACAGCUCAUGACUCAUCGGAGGAACACGACGAAGAAGCGACGACCGAAGAUGAGAUUGUUGAAAGAAACGAAGCAAUCGCUGCCACAAGUGAAGAUGAAGAGGAAAAUGUAGUGGCAACAACUGAAAAUGAAUCGGAAAAUGACAAAGAAGUAGAAGAAGAACAAGAACAAGAAGCUGUGGACAGCGGAGAGGAGACCGGCUCUGCAGAUCAUGGGACUGGAAAUGAAGAUGAACCUGCAGAGGAGAAAUGUGCUUCAGAGGACGGAGCAGUACCUGAAAAUGAGCAUGUCCCAGAAAAAGAAGAGCCCGAAGAAGAGGCUGCAGAAGAAGAGACAGGCUCUGAUGACGAAGAGCCUGCUGCCACAAGUGCUGAAGAGUCUGACAUCAACACAACUGCAGCAAAAGAUGGGCAUGGAGAAACAGACACUGAAGGUGAGACGGCCGAAGGAAAGGAAAUCAUAAGCGAGGAUGAGGAGGCUGAAGGUGAUGUCACUGCAGAAAACACGUCUGUGGCAGGUACGAGUGACAACGAAUCAAACAAAGAAGAAGAUGGUGACGAUGCAAAAGAUGCCGUAACAACCGAAGAUGAAACCGCUGAGGAGGAAGGCGAUGCCGUUGCAACUGAGAAGGACACGGAUGAGGAAGAUCAAGAGUUUGUCGAAUCCACCCACACUGAGAACAAAAAUGCUGCAGAAGAGUCUGAGGAUGAGUCUGACAAAGGUGAAGCCGAACAAGCGGAGGAGGACGACAAUGGAGAACAGACUCCUGCCACAAACGAUGAAGAUGAAACAGCCGAGGAGCCCGAUGUCGUUGGUGACGAAGAUCCAAGCAAGGCAACUGCAGAAACGACGACUGCUACUGAAAAAGACACGGACGACGUAAGUGAAGAGGCUGCAGACGACACCAACGCAGCCUCGACCGAAGACGAACCCGAGCAGCACGAAGCCGUGGCAGAAGAGAUGGACACAGCAGCAAGUACAGAUGAAGCAGAUGGGACCAGCGGAGCAGAAGAGGAGGAGGAGGGCGUAUCGGCAGCUGAACAUGAAUCCGCAGAGGAAGAGAUUCCAGCCACCACUGGGAAUGAGUCGGAAUCAGAUCAACACGGACCCACGGAGGAGGAGACUGAUGAUGAGAAGGUGAUCGCUGCCACGAGUGAAGAUGACAUAAAGGAAGCCACCGAUACAACUGGACAUGAAGACAUGGAGGAAGAAGAAGAAGAAGACCCGGAGGUCACCACAAAUGAUGAAGAAACCGCAGACGAGAACGGAAAGGAGGUCGUCGCCACGGACGACGACGAUGCCACGGAGCAGGAGAAGUCAGGCCAGGAGGAAAUCAGUGAAGUCGUGGCGUCGAACCAAGAGGGAGAGGAAGAAACCACAGAAGCUGGCGAAGAGGCUGAGGCUGAUCCUGAAUCUGCAGGAGAGGCAAGCUCCAAAGACGCAACUGAGAGUGAAUGUGAGGGAGACGCGGAGAACAAUGCAACAACAGAUGAAAACGAGGCCGCGGGAGAAGAAGAGACUUCGAAGGUGACCAGUGAGUCAGGAGACGAAGAAGAGAAUGAGACUGGAGGAGAAACAGGAGCGUCUGAGGGAGUCGCAGGAAGCGACGUAUCCCGAGUAGAGACGCUGAAAGAAGGCGAGACAACGGGAGACGAGUCGGAGGAGGAUGAGGCAACAGGUGAAGACGAGGGCAACGAGACAGAGGAACGUGAGACAGAACGGUCUGCAGGGGAAUCUGCAGUGGAGGAGCUCAGAGGAGCCCAAGACCUGAGGGAGGAGUCCACGGGAGAAGACGACGAGGUUUCAGUCAGAGAACUCACUAACGACGAAGCAGAAGAUCUCGAUGAGGUGGUGGAGCUGAGGCCGGAGGAGGAUGUGGGUGUGGAGGACAUAUCGGAAGAUGGAGGGACCGAGACAGGUGUGAGAGACGGUCGCCACGGUAACGCUAAGGACAACGCCGACGCCUCCGAGAAGGAGGAAGAGGAAACCGAGGCGCCCAGCGAGGACUGCAGGGGAUUCCUGGGAGACGAAGAGGACGAGGCAGAGGAGGAUUCGGACCGGGGGAGAACAGACGAGGACGAAGAGAGAGACUUUGUCCCGAGCAGGAGAGAAAAACCGGCGGCGGCGAACCGGGCGGCCGAGGAAGCGGCGCUGGUGCCACUGGACGCCUUGACCAACGUGGAGUCUGAGGACGGGGCUUACGCCGACGUCGAGGACUCGGAGACCGAAACCAACGGCCAGGAUGACGUCACGAGCCUCGAGUGGAAGGUGACGAAAGCGUAAACUGAAAGCAGGCGAGCACUAAAGAGACACAAGCACUUUACUAGCGUUUCUAUUUGUAUGACGAUGCUGGAAGGACCGCCAGUGUUCUUCUUUCCUCUUCAUCUUGAAUGUUUAACAUUUUAACUAUCAUGCAGGUAACAGGUCGUGUUCUAGCGCCGGAUAUUAGGAGGAAAACUGAAUAUUUAUUACUCUCAGUGUCAGCACCUUCAGUAACUGGUUUCUAGAUGUAACCAAAUAAAAUGAAAAGUAGCAGAAAUCCA